GGGAAGGAGAUCUUCUGCUGUUCAGUCUGGAUUCUGACUGCCGUGAUUCCCCGGGAAGCCUCCUCAGGUUCCUGACUCUCCUGCUGCAUCUGCUUUGGGAGAAAGCAAACAGGACCCAGCUGGCCGAGGCACCCCAGAAGGGCCCAUCUAACGAUCUCUGGCGUGGAGGCAUUGAGGUUUGGCAGGAAGAGGAUGGGCAGCCCCAGGCUGCAGCCCAGCCGGCGUCCUUACCACAGCCGUCAGCUCCGACACCUCCACAUCAUCAUACAGCAGCUCCUGGUGAUCCUGGCUGGGCAGGCCGUCAAUGACUGCGGUCCUCAGGACCUGCGGCAGACAGCCGUGACCACGACCUCUGCCCUGGCCGUGCCUUCCCAAACGCCCACCCAGCCAAAGGGCCAGCGGUACCUCGAGCUUGGCCAGGCCCUCGCCAUCGUGGAGGAUGCGGAAGGAGUAGAGGUGGUCAGGGCUCGGGUCCGGCACCACCUCACAGCCCACCAGGCUGAGGGGCUGCUGGGCCGCCUUGCUGCGGUUCCGGUCCUGGUAGAAGUACAGGUGACUGUCCCUGACGGAGCACCAGCGCGACUUCCACUGGCCGUUCACCAGCACGUUCAGGCAUUGGCUUACAAAGCGGACACUUUCUCCAUCCUAAGGGACCAGCAGCUGCUCUGAACCUUAGCCAGGAAGAACUAGGCCCAUGCAACAGGGUCAAAGUACACGGCCACCUUCGCACCCAGUCCAGUGCUGGACACUCAGUGGGGAUCGUGAAUUUCUUAGGGCCACGAGACCAUCACAUCACAGUAGCAAAGUGGAAGAAUGUGAGCCCAGGACCUAGGAACUCUGGCUCAUUCAGGCAGGCGCCCCACUCGCCCAUCACAAUUCUCUGGACCAAAGAGAGGCGGGGAGCUCAGACACCGAGUCCUGGGAAGGAGAGCAUCUAUGUUCUCUCUGGCCCUUCCCCAGCCACAGGGGACAGGAGCAUGCUUCCCUGCUGAGUAACUGCCAGCAAGAACCCAGCCACAUCUCCCAAAGUGACUCACUGGGACCAGGAUCCCAGGCCCAACACCAUGCCCUCUGAGGCCACAGGGGCUGGCAGAGCUGGGCCGUUACCUGGCACCCUGGCCAGAGAACCCGGAGGCUCCAAAGGUAGGGCCCUGUCUGCUGCUGCCUUCCUGUUCCUCCAGCUCACCCUGCCAGCCGCAAAACACAGAGGUGAACUGGGACUCAGGAAAAGAGCCCAGGGCUGGUACACGGGUUCCAUGAGGAGGAGGAAAAGGCCCAAAGAUGGACAAUAGUGGCCUUCAGGCUCCGGGGGGUAAGUAUAGCAAUGAGCUUUGAGUUGGAAGCCAGGAUGUUUUCUGGGAAAGGUCUCUCUCUGUCUCUCUCUCCUGUCAUCAGUUUCCUCAAGGCCGAGUAAGGACAGCAGAGAUGACCUGGAGGGCCUCCCAGCACCCACACUUUCCCUCUGUACCAGCGACACGGGCUUUUGUCAUCCCCUUAACGGGUCUUACCAGCGCCCUCUCAGAGUCUUUGCUCCUGCCCACGGGGGCUAUCCCAGCCCGUUUAGCUCCCACCCGGCCUUGGCGGCUCAGGUCCAGGAAGCCAUCCAUCUCUGUCUACAGAGUAACAACGGUUAUUUCUGUCCCCGAGUCCUUGUAGCUACUAAGAUGGCACAGUGUGUGGUUACGGGUAUAAGGGCAUCAUCUCUGUUGAGCUGUAAGCUGUCAGGACUGUGUCCUCCACCUGCUUGGGCCCCUUUCCCUAACACCGUGCCUACCGUGCUCCAUACACAUUGAUCAAAUGAACAUAUAACUUUAAAGACU